rnacentral:rRNA from 1 species
GGGAGGACGCUUACCACUUUGUGGUUCAUGACUGGGGUGAAGUCGUAACAAGGUAGCGCUAGGGGAACCUGGCGCUGGAUCACCUCCUUAUACGA